GAGAGUAAUGGCACCUAUCUUUCCUUUUACAAUACUGGAGGUGGUCCACACCCGUCCCAGCAGCCACAGUGGGAGCCUCCAACUGCAGGUGUUUCUAGGCAGCCAUCUUGCCCCCGCCCCGCCUCGAGUGAUCCUGGGACUCCUUGAGAAGACAGCCCUGAAUUGAGCAAAUCCAUCUCCCUCUUCUUAGAUACCUGCCCAUGAGAAACUGCCCUGUCAUUAGUUGUCUCAAGUCCCAGCUUGCCUUCAGAAUACUGUGGAGCCGCCCACAUUGAAAGGAAGUGAAGCAAAAGAAAACUCUUCAGACUUGAAAGUCAAGAGUAAUGCAACAGUAUGAUGAUUCUGGGAUUAUUUUCAUAAGGAACUGGCUGACUGAGCAUCCUGGUUCCAGGCUUCACAUUGUAGCUUCUUUUGUCUGUCAGCUUGUUUGAAAGGGCUGUGGUGAAAUUUUUAAUAGUUGUUUUUAAAAUCUUGUUUAUAAUGACCUUGCAGAAACUGGAAACUUUUCUUUGUACCAGUUUUGUCCUUUUCUAUUUUGCAAAGAGCGCUUUCUGUAUUUCCAAUGGAACUUUUAAAUUUUAAAAAAAUACUAUAUUGACAAUUUUGGUAGGAAUGAAUACCUAG
rnacentral:lncRNA from 1 species